AACGCUGGCGGCAUGCCUAACACAUGCAAGUCGAACGAGUGCCUUCGGGUGCUAGUGGCGCACGGGUGCGUAACGCGUGGGAAUCUGCCCUUUGGUUCGGAAUAACAGCGAGAAAUUGCUGCUAAUACCGGAUGAUGACGUAAGUCCAAAGAUUUAUCGCCAGAGGAUGAGCCCGCGUAGGAUUAGCUGGUUGGUGUGGUAAAGGCGCACCAAGGCGACGAUCCUUAGCUGGUCUGAGAGGAUGAUCAGCCACACUGGGACUGAGACACGGCCCAGACUCCUACGGGAGGCAGCAGUGGGGAAUAUUGGACAAUGGGCGCAAGCCUGAUCCAGCAAUGCCGCGUGAGUGAUGAAGGCCUUAGGGUUGUAAAGCUCUUUUACCCGUGAUGAUAAUGACAGUAGCGGGAGAAUAAGCCCCGGCUAACUCCGUGCCAGCAGCCGCGGUAAUACGGAGGGGGCUAGCGUUGUUCGGAAUUACUGGGCGUAAAGCGCACGUAGGCGGCUUUGUAAGUUAGAGGUGAAAGCCUGGAGCUCAACUCCAGAACUGCCUUUAAGACUGCAUCGCUUGAAUCCAGGAGAGGUGAGUGGAAUUCCGAGUGUAGAGGUGAAAUUCGUAGAUAUUCGGAAGAACACCAGUGGCGAAGGCGGCUCACUGGACUGGUAUGACGCUGAGG
rnacentral:rRNA from 1 species